CACAAAUACACUUAAUAAACUACAAAACACAAGUGGUGGUUACUCUUAUUAAUACAAACAAAUAGUUAAUAAAAGAAAGUGAUAGAGACUGAUUUCUAAACUGUUUCCUGACACUUUGUUUUCAAAUGCUUGAUGAUGCAAUACUGAGCUGUGUUUUCCCAGCAAGGUCUUUGGGGUUGUCAAUGAAUCAUUUCCUUCACAUUCACAUGAAAGAUACGCCUGGGGAGAUCAGGUUCCCACCCUGUUUUAUCUUAACAACCCAUACAUUGCAGGAAGACAUCAGAGGAGAAUGAAAGAAGUAAGAAAGGUUUAUGAGAACCAAAAAUGGAAAAUCAUUUCUUUCACAGCAGUGCUCAGACAAGAACUCUACCCACUGAAGUCAACCGGCUAUGCUGUGAACUAAAUGAGCUGAAGCCUCCACUAUUCAAAGUUCUUCAAGGCCAUAUCACAUGUACUACACUGAGACAGUCACGUGGGAAAGGCUACCCCGCAAAACCCCUAUGGGCCUGCACACUGGGGUGGAGCCACAGAAGUCUGCAGGAAGGAGUCUGGCCCCUCCUCUUCCUGGGUGAAACCUGGGAUUCAAUCUGCAAGGCAGGAAGCUCGGGGCAAGAAGCACACUGUCUCGUUUUGCUAAGAGUCUCCCUUUCCCCUUGUUUUCCUUUUCACCCAAUAAAACCCUGCCUUAGUCACCCUUUAAAUUGUCUGUGA
rnacentral:lncRNA from 1 species